ACGUAGCGGACAGAACACAUCAUCUAGUGCUAACCUAGCAGUAGCAAGUGCAGCUGGCAACACUGCAGUCUUGUUCACCGACGAGAUUGGUUAUAAUAGUCAAUUAAGUCACGCAAGCUAUGUGAAUAAAUCUUUAGAUUUUACUGUUGUUUAUGUUUUUUAUUUUAUGUCUACGCCUUUUAUGAAAUAAAAUUUUAUAUUAUCGAUGGAAAACAGCUUCUCACAGUCGUUGCUUUUUGACACUGUUUAUGAAUCAACUUUUGUCUGUUUUGAAUGAAUAUCUCAAAGCAGAAUUCAUUCGCAAAAACCGGCGUUCAGCCGCGCACUGCCAGACUUCGAUAAUUGCGUCACUUCGUUUCGAACGAAUCGCGCGUUCGGCUCUCACAAGCGCAUUUCAAUGAGACAGUCAAUAGUGCCGAAUUUCCUGCUAUCUGUGGAAAAUGCAUACAUCUAUUUCUAAAUGGACGUAAGGUUAUGCUAUACAUGGCGUGUCUUCGACGUUUCCCGUUGAAGUUUAAGCUCGACGUUUUAACGACCGAUUAGACCGAUAGGAUACAAAGGACAAAUCUAAAAUUAAUGUAACAAUGGAUUCCGAAGAUAAACCAGUAUCUUUAGACAAGACUGAUGUUAUAUCUGAAGCACAAAUUGUAAACAAUACUGAAAAUAAAAAUGAUAAUGAGAACUGUGUUAAGGAAGUUUCAGGAGAAAACGAAGAAUCUGAUAAAUCACAUCUUGAUAAAGAUGAGCCACAACCUGAAGAAACAGAAACU